rnacentral:rRNA from 1 species
CCUACGGGCGGCAGCAGUGAGGAAUAUUGGGCAAUGGGCGCGAGCCUGAACCAGCGACGUCGCGUGAAGGAUGACUGCCCUACGGGUUGUAAACUUCUUUUAUAAAGGAAUAAGGUGAGGCACGUGUGCCUUUUUGUAUGUACUUUAUGAAUAAGGAUCGGCUAACUCAGUGCCAGCAGCCGCGGGAAUACGGAGGAUACGAGCGUUAUCCGGAUUUGUUGGGUUUAAAGGGAGCGUAGAUGGGUUGUUAAGUCAGUUGUGAAAGUUUGCGGCUCAACCUGAGAAUUGCAAUUGAUACUGGCAGCCUUGAGUACAGUUGAGGUAGGCGGAAUUCGUGGUGUAGCGGUGAAAUGCUUAGAUAUCACGAAGAACUCCGAUUGCGAAGGCAGCUUACUAAACUGCCACUGACAUUGAUGCUCGAAAGUGUGGGUAUCAAACAGGAUUAGAUACCCCAGUAGUC